rnacentral:tRNA from 2 species
GCGGGUAUCGUAUAAUGGCUAUUACCUCAGCUCAACCUUCCAGGCUGAUGAUGCGGGUUCGAUUCCCGCGACCCGCUCCA